rnacentral:rRNA from 1 species
GAUGAACGCUGGCGGCGUGCCUAAUACAUGCAAGUCGAGCGAACAGAUAAGGAGCUUGCUCCUUUGACGUUAGCGGCGGACGGGUGAGUAACACGUGGGUAACCUACCUAUAAGACUGGAAUAACUCCGGGAAACCGGGGCUAAUGCCGGAUAACAUUUAGAACCGCAUGGCUCUAAAGUGAAAGAUGGUUUUGCUAUCACUUAUAGAUGGACCCGCGCCGUAUUAGCUAGUUGGUAGGGUAACGGCUUACCAAGGCAACGAUACGUAGCCGACCUGAGAGGGUGAUCGGCCACACUGGAACUGAGACACGGUCCAGACUCCUACGGGAGGCAGCAGUAGGGAAUCUUCCGCAAUGGGCGAAAGCCUGACGGAGCAACGCCGCGUGAGUGAUGAAGGUCUUCGGAUCGUAAAACUCUGUUAUUAGGGAAGAACAAAUGUGUAAGUAACUGUGCACGUCUUGACGGUACCUAAUCAGAAAGCCACGGCUAACUACGUG